rnacentral:rRNA from 1 species
AGAGUUUGAUUCUGGCUCAGAACGAACGCUGGCAGCGUGGAUUAGGCAUGCAAGUCGAACGGGAAGCGGUUGUUUCAAUCUUCGGAGAGAAACGGCCGUGGAUAGUGGCGAAAGGGUGAGUAACGCGUGGGUAACCUGCCCCCGAGUUGGGGACAGCUCUUCGAAAGGUGGGCUAAUACCGAAUACGGUACUCCGUCGCAUGGCGGAGAUAUUAAAGGUGGGGAUUCCUCGGAACCUGCCGCUUGGGGAGGGACCCGCGUCCCAUCAGCUUGUUGGUAGGGUAAUGGCCUACCAAGGCUUACGGGUAGCCGGCCUGAGAGGGUGAUCGGCCACACUGGGACUGAGACACUGCCCAGACUCCUACGGGAGGCUGCAGUCGAGGAUCAUUCGCAAUGCGCGAAAGCGUGUCGAUGCGACGCUGCGUGGAGGAUGAAGGCUUUCGGGUUGUAAACUCCUGUCAUGAGGGAAAAGACGCAUGAAUACUAAUACUAUUUGUGCCCGAUGGUACCUCAAGAGGAAGCGACGGCUAACUCUGUGCCAGCAGCCGCGGUAAUACAGAGGUCGCUAGCGUUGUUCGGAUUUACUGGGCGUAAAGCGUACGUAGGUGGUUCCGUGUGUCGAGUGUGAAAUCCCACAGCUCAACUGUGGAACUGCAUCCGAAACUGCGGGACUUGAGUGCAGGAGGGGAGAGCGGAAUUCUUGGUGUAGCGGUGAAAUGCGUUGAUAUCAAGAGGAACACCGGUGGCGAAGGCGGCUCUCUGGAAUGUUACUGACACUGAGGUACGAAAGCUGGGGGAGCGAACAGGAUUAGAUACCCUGGUAGUCCCAGCCGUAAACGGUGCACACUUGGUGUGGGAGGUAUUGACCCCUUCCGUGCCGGAGCUAACGCGUUAAGUGUGCCGCCUGGGGAGUACGGCCGCAAGGCUAAAACUCAAAGAAAUUGACGGGGGCCCGCACAAGCGGAGGAGCAUGUGGCUUAAUUCGAUGCAACGCGAAGAACCUUACCUGGGCUUGACAUGGUGACCCUUCGGGGGUGGGAGUGAAAGUUCCCUUUACAAUCACAGGUGCUGCAUGGCUGUCGUCAGUUCGUGCCGUGAGGUGUUGGGUUAAGUCCCGCAACGAACGCAACCCUUGUGUUUAGUUGCCACCGGCGGUGAUGAGCCGCCGAGCACUCUAGACAGACUGCCCGUACAAGCGGGAGGAAGGUGGGGAUGACGUCAAGUCAGUAUGGCCCUUACGCCCAGGGCUGCACACGUGCUACAAUGGUCGGUACAAUGGGAUGCAAGAUCGCGAGAUGGAGCAAAUCCCCAAAGCCGGCCCAAGUUCGGAUUGGAGUCUGCAACUCGACUCCAUGAAGUCGGAUUCGCUAGUAACGCCGUAUCAGCUACGACGGCGUGAAUACGUUCCCGGGCCUUGUACACACCGCCCGUCACAUCAUGAAAGCCGUCUGCACCCGAAGUCGCUGAGCCAACCAUUUAUGGAGGCAGGUGCCGAAGGUGUGGGUGGUGAUUGGGAUGAAGUCGUAACAAGGUA